GUCGAGCGACGCUAUACAUGCAGUCGAGCGAACAGAAGGGAGCUUGCUCCCGGAUGUUAGCGGCGGACGGGUGAGUAACACGUGGGUAACCUGCCUGUAAGACUGGGAUAACUCCGGGAAACCGGAGCUAAUACCGGAUAGUUCCUUGAACCGCAUGGUUCAAGGAUGAAAGACGGUUUCGGCUGUCACUUACAGAUGGACCCGCGGCGCAUUAGCUAGUUGGUGGGGUAAUGGCUCACCAAGGCGACGAUGCGUAGCCGACCUGAGAGGGUGAUCGGCCACACUGGGACUGAGACACGGCCCAGACUCCUACGGGAGGCAGCAGUAGGGAAUCUUCCGCAAUGGACGAAAGUCUGACGGAGCAACGCCGCGUGAGUGAUGAAGGUUUUCGGAUCGUAAAGCUCUGUUGUUAGGGAAGAACAAGUGCGAGAGUAACUGCUCGCACCUUGACGGUACCUAACCAGAAAGCCACGGCUAACUACGUGCCAGCAGCCGCGGUAAUACGUAGGUGGCAAGCGUUGUCCGGAAUUAUUGGGCGUAAAGGGCUCGCAGGCGGUUUCUUAAGUCUGAUGUGAAAGCCCCCGGCUCAACCGGGGAGGGUCAUUGGAAACUGGGAAACUUGAGUGCAGAAGAGGAGAGUGGAAUUCCACGUGUACACCGG
rnacentral:rRNA from 1 species